rnacentral:rRNA from 1 species
AGCAGUAGCCGCGGGAAUACGUAGGUCCCGAGCGUUGUCCGGAUUUAUUGGGCGUAAAGGGAGCGCAGGCGGUUUAGUAAGUCUGAAGUUAAAGGCAUUGGCUCAACCAAUGUAUGCUUUGGAAACUGUUAGACUUGAGUGCAAGAGGGGAGAGUGGAAUUCCUAGUGUAGCGGUGAAAUGCGUAGAUAUUAGGAAGAACACCAGUGGCGAAGGCGACUUUCUGGACGAAGACUGACGCUGAGGCGCGAAAGCCAGGGGAGCAAACGGGAUUAGAUACCCGGGUAGUCCCUGUCUCUUAUACA